ACUUAUUUUGCUAUCAUCAGUCAACAUAGCUCAUAGCUGUCUAUUUUCCGCAUCAAAAGAACAACUCUAUUACACGGAACCAAAUCCGUUUUCCGUCUCUGUAAGCAGAAUCAUUGGAAGUAUAAGUUGAUAUUGAUCAUUACUCGCCUCCCUACUCUCUCCUAGCAGGUCAAGGGAGACAAUCUCAUUACCAAAAUCAAUUGCUUUACCUAAUUGUCUCCUAAUAUUACAGAGAUAGCCCAUCAAGGCACGCUUCUGUUAGCUUCUAGCAUCGCUAUGAUAACUAAAGAAGUAUCUGACGGGCCAGUGACGAUUAAGUAGGUUCCUUGUGUGCAAGACCCAUCCAGUAUUUACGAAUUGGGAUUCUCCUUCGUACUGAUCGUCACCAUACAUUGUAAUUAUGUCGACAGUGCGUUUGCCCAUGGGACACAUACAAAGAAAAAAGAGUUAGUCAAAUUAACCUUAUUCUGACAGGUGCAACUACACAAGCUUAAGCAAACGUCUCCACUAGAAAUAGUUCUAGGAAAUCUGGUAAGAUUAGGAGUCUGCUGUGCAAACAUAAAUAUUUAACCACCGUCACCCACCAUUUUGUAACAGUUUUACGGACCAAUUUGAAAAGGAAAUUUUUAUUUCAGGAUCGACUGAAAGAUAACAAAAUCUGAAGACAACUUCUCUUGAGCUGAUCAUACAUCACAAGGUUCUCUUGAAAAUUGGACAUUCGAUAAUGGAAGCAGCAAUCAGGAUUGUCAGGAUCCAGUCCGCUUUGGAUCAUAGAAUCUUUUCUCAGACACAGUAAAUCAGGAACUCUUGGCAUUCUUCAUGUCCCACACGAGACCAACAGUUUCAAUUUUAUAGGUUCUCGACAGAUAUACUAUAGGUACUGGAUGCAAGAAUUUAUCUAGAUAUUGCAGAAAAUGACAGCUUACCAAAGUUACCGAUUUCGUAAAAGUUCAAGUUAUUGACGUCCGAAACAGUGCCGGAGACGUGAUAUUUAUUCUUUUUUCAUCUUAAUUUCACUUGUAUUUGGAAUUCGGAAUUUCUCAAACAAGAGUUUUUAGUUUGCGUUAAAGAUGUUUAACAAUUUUGAUUUAGCAUAGCUACAAAACUUAACGUAACGAUGAUAUGCUGUUGGAAAAAAACCCUGUUUUUUCCUGGAUUUGAAAUAAUAUAGAAAUUGAAAACUUCAGCAGGAAGAUUAUUUUUGUCGUAAAACAAUUGCAAAGUGCUGGAUGUAUUACAGACCCAUGGGAUAUCCGAACUUCGGGAACCGGGGAUUCAUUAUAAGAAACAUUGAUACAGUAAUGAUAAAAACCGCUUACGGAUAUUAAUGUUGCCAAAUUUCUCGGUUAAAAUAAAAUGAACUAAGGGACCUCUCCUCAAUCAAACUCACCACAAUAUCAAAUAAAUUGGACAAAUAAAAAUCAACUCAAUUUCUCAGACAAAGAAUCAAGACAGUUACGUCCAUUUGUAUAAAACAACAAACCCAGAAAUACAUCUCCACAAAAAUAGUCGUAUAAAUAAGAAAUGAAGAAAUUGACAUUAACGUAGAACUAACGUGUGCACCUCAUAUACCCUAUAAUCCAGUGACCUCUAAGGAUAGCCGAGGUCUUCGAUAUUGGCCAAAAUAUUACAGCUUUGCAAAACUUCAUUGAAGGACAGUUUCCAUUCUAUGAACAGUUUUACGAGUAAAAUCCUUUAAACAAUUCUUCAAGUCUUCAUAAAAGCCACCAUCAUUAAAAAAAAACUUUUUGACAUUUUUUACCGCUAUCGAAUGUAUUGAACACGUAAUGCAACUGCUUUAGUCUAAGUUCGUGAUUCAUCAAAUAAUCCGAAGUGAUUUGCAAGUCAUCGAGAUAAAUAUUCGAUGUUAAACGUUUUUUCUGCAAAUUACGCAGGUGAAGGCAAUGGUGAAAAAAAGGGUUUCCGAAAUUCCUGACAUGAACCGAAUUAAUUAGGAAAGCUUGUGUCCUGCGGCGAAGAAAAGAGGCCCAUAAAUACAGUAGUGAUCCAUUCUAUUAUCGCAGGUCAAUUAUCUUCAAUUUUUCACCUUCAAAGGGAAUACGGGAGGAGAGGGGUUAUGUGAUGACAGUAACAGCCGACCAUCAGACGAAGCGAGGGUGUCGAAGGCAGACUGUGUACACACUUGUUUAAUAGAGUUCAAUGGCCUUCAGCUAUGGCAAAGUAAAAAAUACUCACCAGAAAUACCAUCAUACGUCCACCAUUCAUCCCACAUGGAAAGGAUGACUGCAAUGAGACAGAAAAAAUGGUGAUUAGAAAGAACAUGAUGGGUUUAUUAUUUCGAAAAUAUGAAGGGUAUGUGUCGAAACAAAGGCGUCUUAAUCCGAUUGUAAGAUACUGACAAUAAAUCAAAGAUUGUGGGUGAUAAAGCUUGAUGAGAGAUAUUGAUAUGACUUCUCUGGGAAUUUUAAAUGAGUUUUGAUGGACAAAAUUUUGCAACUGCAGAUAAAACUGAACUACACUGUACGUUUUGUCUUUGGAAUUGUUUUUCUUUACUCUGUGUCGACAAAAGAGUACUUAAAAUAUCUAAUUUAAAGAAAAGUGUUGACGUAAUGAUAAAAAUUCGUCGUGACACUCAAAAACAUGUUCUAAAAACUACAAGUAGUUCAGAACAAGUUAAGUUUAUAUGGACUCUGUUGACGCCACUGUCCCCUUCACUUCAAUAAGCUGAGGGUCGAUGUUGUAUCUCUUAGCUGUGGUCUCUUGUUUCAUUAAUAUAAUCAUAUUUUACUCUUUGGAAUCGAGAAACAAUAAAGAGGAAUUAAACAGAAAGAAGAAAUUCGAGCGUCGUAACAUAUAUCGAACACGAACGUAAUCGGAAAGUUGUAAAACAAUUUAUUACAUUGUGCUGAUCGCCGACAUAGCUCGCCUAAAUGCAUUGAUAAAAGAAAUAUUUUUCAUGGCUUUUAUCUGGAAGUUUAACACCAAGACCUUUUGCAAAGAUAGCCGAAGGUAACAACUUUCUGCACUUAACCAAAUCGAAGGCUCGGUUAAGAUUUCACGAUUGCAUCGGAUUUCGUAAACUUAUACAUAUAUCAAUAUACUCCAUGCUUAGCACAAGUUAUCAUGGUAUAAAUGUGUCAUAUUUCAAACGUUUUGAACAAUUAUGGAUCUACAUGUAUUAAGUUCUGAUUGCAGAAUAAAGUAUGCUUAAACAAG
rnacentral:sRNA from 1 species